AUUCCAGCUCCAAUAGUGUAUAUUAAAGUUGUUGCAGUUAAAAAGCUCGUAGUUGGAUUUCUGGCGGGAGCGAUCGGUCCUUCACUCAGUGUUGGAACCUGAUUGUCUCCUGCCAUCCAUGGAGAAAACUUAUCUGGCAUUAAGUUGUCGGGUAGGCAAUCUCCAUCUUUUACUGUGAAAAAAUUAGAGUGUUCAAAGCAGGCUUAUGCCGUUGAAUAUAUUAGCAUGGAAUAAUAAGAUAGGACUGUGGUACUAUUUUGUUGGUUUGUGCACCAUGGUAAUGAUUAAUAGGGACAGUUGGGGGUAUUCGUAUUCAAACGACAGAGGUGAAAUUCUCAGACCAGCGGAAGACGAACCACUGCGAAAGCAUUUGCCAGGGAUGUUUUCAUCG
rnacentral:rRNA from 1 species